AUCGCUUCUUGGCCUUUUGGCUAAGAUCAAGUGUAGUUUAAGAUCUGUUCUUAUCAGUUUAAUAUGUGACACACCCUGUAUCUGAGAACAUUAUAUUAAAUGGAUAUUUGGAGCCAGGAGGUGGAAUAGGAGCUUGCUUCUCCACUCUGUGAAUCCACUUGGUAUUGCACUACUUCCAGCAAUGGUGCACCAAAA